GUUCGAAUCCCACCGUGGCCGGGCAUAUUUUUCAAGCUCGCCCGGUGUGGAUAUGCACUCAGAGUAACAUCGCAAACAUAUUAUUCACCUGAGUACACAACACCAACACAGAAAAAAAAUAAAUUAUAUAUAAUAUGUUUUACAUAGUUCGAGUAAAUCAGUAUAACUGUAUAGUAGCUUCAUUAAAAGUUGAAUAUAUUACCCCUUUGCUGAAGAUUGUUUAUCAUGUUGCUAAUCGCCAACAAUUACGUUGGGAUUCUUCGCAUAGACCACCGUUCUUGAAUAUUUACUUUCUGCAUGAUUUCUCUAUCCAUGAACAGAUUCAGUCAGUCUCUAAUCUUCGUUCAGCUUCAAUGAGUGUAAUCGAAUAUGGUUC